rnacentral:rRNA from 1 species
GAUGAACGCUGGCGGCGUGCCUAAUACAUGCCAGUCGAGCGAACAGACGAGGAGCUUGCUCCUUUGACGUUAGCGGCGGACGGGUGAGUAACACGUAGGUAACCUACCUAUAAGACUGGGAUAACUUCGGGAAACCGGAGCUAAUACCGGAUAAUAUUUCGAACCGCAUGGUUCGAUAGUGAAAGAUGGCUUUGCUAUCACUUAUAGAUGGACCUGCGCCGUAUUAGCUAGUUGGUAAGGUAACGGCUUACCAAGGCAACGAUACGUAGCCGACCUGAGAGGGUGAUCGGCCACACUGGAACUGAGACACGGUCCAGACUCCUACGGGAGGCAGCAGUAGGGAAUCUUCCGCAAUGGGCGAAAGCCUGACGGAGCAACGCCGCGUGAGUGACGAAGGUCUUCGGAUCGUAAAACUCUGUUAUUAGGGAAGAACAAACGUGUAAGUAACUGUGCACGUCUUGACGGUACCUAAUCAGAAAGCCACGGCUAACUACGUG